rfam:Clostridium sp. CAG:221 genomic scaffold, scf105
AGUACCUUUAAAAGAGUCCAGAGAGAUUCAAAAGGAAGCGGAUUUUGGCAAAAUAUUAGGAUUAACAUGCCUUCCUUUUGAUAUAAAGGGAGGCAUUUUUUAC